UGCGGCGGCCAUGGCCCAGGUGAGACGCCCGGUCCCAUUCCGAACCCGGAAGCUAAGGCCUGGCACGGCGAUGGUACUGCACCCGACAGGGUGUGGGAGAGUAGCACGCCGGCGGCGA
rnacentral:rRNA from 1 species